GAGUUUGAUCGUGGCUCAGAGUGAACGCUGGCGGCAGGCCUAACACAUGCAAGUCGAACGGCAGCACAGUCGUAGCAAUACGAUGGGUGGCGAGUGGCGGACGGGUGAGGAAUACAUCGGAAUCUACCUUGUCGUGGGGGAUAACGUAGGGAAACUUACGCUAAUACCGCAUACGAACUACGGUUGAAAGCGGCGGACCGCAAGGCGUCGCGCGAUUGGAUGAGCCGAUGUCCGAUUAGCUAGUUGGCGGGGUAAAGGCCCACCAAGGCGACGAUCGGUAGCUGGUCUGAGAGGAUGAUCAGCCACACUGGAACUGAGACACGGUCCAGACUCCUACGGGAGGCAGCAGUGGGGAAUAUUGGACAAUGGGCGCAAGCCUGAUCCAGCCAUGCCGCGUGUGUGAAGAAGGCCUUCGGUUGUAAG
rnacentral:rRNA from 1 species